rnacentral:rRNA from 1 species
AGUUUCCGUAAGUGAACCUGCGGAAGGAUCAUUA